GGACGCCCGCGGGGGCCCUUCCGGGAGCCGCGGGGGACCUGAGGCGGCGCCGGCCCGGAAGGGGGUCGCAGCGCCACUCCGCAGGUCCCGCGGAUCGCGCUCUGGGGGCUUCGGCCAGCCCGGACAGCAGGCUUUUGUGAGCGCCCCAGGAGGACGAGAGUCGAGAGUGCCGAGCCGGGUGUGCGGCGGCGGGUGUGUGUGCGCGCCCGAGUGUGCGCGUGUGUGCGCGAGUGUGUACGCCGGAGCGGGUGGGAGCGCGCGUUAGAGAUUCUGCGGGCAUCGCAGCGUGGAGAGCAGGAGGCAGGAGCGGGGCGUGCAGGGGAGCGCGGGUCCCUCCCGCGCACACGCCGCGCGCUCACACACACGCACACACACGCACACGCCCUCUCUGCCUCGCUCGUUGCCGCGGCCACCAUCUCGGAGCCGAGCCCUGCGGACGGGAAUCGCAGCGGAGCCAAGUCGGGGGAUGCGGGCCAGGAGCAGAGCUGCGCGCUGUUGGCGCGCCCGGGACGGUGUCCUCCGAGGAGCCCUGAGCCCACUGGUGCCCCCCUGAGGUAAGCAGCCGCUGCCUGUGCUGGAGGAGGGGCAGGGGUGAGGGGCGCGCAGGGUGGGCUCCAGGGC
rnacentral:lncRNA from 1 species